UACAGAGGUCCCAAGCGUUGCUCGGAUUCACUGGGUGUAAAGGGUGCGUAGGCGGCGAGGUAAGUCUGACGUGAAAUCUCCGGGCCCAACCCGGAAACUGCGUUGGAUACUAUCACGCUAGAGGAAUGGAGGGGAGACUGGAAUACUUGGUGUAGCAGUGAAAUGCGUAGAUAUCAAGUGGAACACCAGUGGCGAAGGCGAGUCUCUGGACAUUUCCUGACGCUGAGGCACGAAAGCCAGGGGAGCAAACGGG
rnacentral:rRNA from 1 species